CCUACGGGUGGCAGCAGUAGGGAAUAUUGCUCAAUGGGGGAAACCCUGAAGCAGCAACGCCGCGUGGAGGAUGAAGGUUUUCGGAUUGUACACUCCUUUUGUUAGAGAAGAUAAUGACGGUAUCUAACGAAUAAGCACCGGCUAACUCCGUGCCAGCAGCCGCGGUAAUACGGAGGGUGCAAGCGUUACUCGGAAUCACUGGGCGUAAAGAGCGCGUAGGCGGGAUAGCAAGUCAGAUGUGAAAUCCUAGGGCUUAACCAUAGAACUGCAUUUGAAACUGUUAUUCUAGAGUAUGGGAGAGGUAGGUGGAAUUCUUGGUGUAGGGGUAAAAUCCGUAGAGAUCAAGAGGAAUACUCAUUGCGAAGGCGACCGGCUAGAACAUAACUGACGCUGAUGCGCGAAAGCGUGGGGAGCAAACAGGAUUAGAUACCCCAGUAGUC
rnacentral:rRNA from 1 species